AGCCCCUUGCUCUACAUAAGGGGUCACGCCUGCCCGGUGGACACCCUAAACGGCCGCGGUAUCUUGACCGUGCAAAGGUAGCAUAAUCACUUGUCCUUUAAAUGGGGACUCGUAUGAAUGGCAAAACCUCUUUUGACUGUCUUUCCCGCCCUCCUUAUAAACUCACAUCCAUGUGAAGAGUCAUGGAUGUUAAAGAAAGACGAGAAGACCCUGUCGAGCUUUAGUCCAAAGGAGAAUAAAAGAGUCAACUUUUAAAGCUCGUUUUCUACAUCUUCUAAAGACUUUGGUUGGGGCAACCAUGGAGAAAAACAACCCUCCAGAAACAGCAGAAGAAAACCAAUUCUCUGUAUAAAAAUAGUGAACCAGGAACUGGAAAACGGAAAAAGUUACCGCAGGGAUAACAGCGUUAUCUUCUCUAAGAGUCCUUAUUGACGAGAAGGUUUGCGACCUCGAUGUUGGAUUAGGGCCCCCACAGGGUGCAGAAGCUCUAAAAGGUUGGACUGUUCGUCCAUUAAAGCCCUACA
rnacentral:rRNA from 1 species